UGUCAAGGCCACUCAGAUGCUCGCCAGAUUCCAGCUGCCUCAUUUAAGGCCCAUUCAGUGUUUGGCUUGGGGAACUGAAAAGCCCCCAUCUGGAGCAGUGUCAGGACGGAGAGCCCAGAGGAGCGGCGCUCUGAAAGGACUGAAGAUCCUUGAUGAGACGAAACGUCCGGUAAAACGGUCGUCCAAUCGAGAAAAGUUGGACUGGAACGUGGAAGGAGGGCAGACUGGGAAAACGUAGUGAAGAGGAGACACCCAAGAUGAAGAUCAAAUUCUGGCUCCAAUCUUCCUUUCCCUUUUCUCCUCUGAAGCUUUUAUCAGCUAAAGAACCGCCCUCCUGUCUCUGUUGGAACUCGCCUCUCUGAACACUGAUUGUAGGUGGCUGCUGAAACAUGGCCUUUUCGGCAGGGUUAGAAUAACCUCGCUCUUCCCCUAUCUCUUUCCAUUAAAGCCGCCGUCACUCUUGA